GUACUGCUGAAGAGUCUCAAAUCGGGACGAAACAGCUGUCCAGUAC
rnacentral:hammerhead_ribozyme from 1 species